GUCUAUGGCCAUGCUACCUUGAACAAGCCCAAUCCCGUCUGAUUUCGGAAGCUAAGUAGGGUCGAGCUUGGUUAGUACUUGGAUAGGAGAUCACCUAGGAAGACCAGGUGUUGUAGGCG
rfam:Pteropus alecto contig83193, whole genome shotgun sequence.